rfam:Oryza nivara chromosome 1, whole genome shotgun sequence.
UUUAAGUGCAACAAUAAAUUUCCACGCUUAACUUUUAGUCCGUAUUAUUUUUAUAAUUAGUAUUUUUAUUAUUAUGAUAUGAUAAAUUAUGAAUAGUACUUUAUACGUGACUUAUGCUUUUAAUAUUUUUAAAAAGUUUUUCAAAUAGGAUGGAUGGAUAAAGUUGUGCAUGGAAAAUCAUGGCUGCACUUAAA